AGCCCUGUGGUGUAGAAACACGCCGGAUUGCAAAUCCGGAGCCGCAGAGUAAUACCCGCCGGGGCUU
rnacentral:tRNA from 1 species